rnacentral:lncRNA from 1 species
UAGAUGUCUUAUUUGAGACCUCUUCUCUUAAUCCUUCAAUUGUGGCCUCAAGCUGUAAAACUUCAAUAGCUGGAAGGGCAUUCAAAAAUCUGGCAAUCCAUGCCCAACCUUCUUCAAUUCCAUGCAGGUUACGGAAACCCUCAACUUCAGUCUAAAAAAAGACAAUAAUUUUCCUGUCACUUGUGAUCCUUCAAACUAGAAAAGAGCAUGGAGUAACUUCUUCUUUUUUUACAGGUAGAAUGUACAAUAACUUAAUCUUAUAAGACUAGCUAUUUGUUUUCCAUGGCUGCUAAAAUCCUGCACAACACACAAAUCGUCAGUUACUGAUCAUGAUAUAAUCCCUCGUGUUAAAAUACAUAUUUACGUAGGUAGUUUACAAUACAAAAUGAAGAUCAAAUGAAAAUAACCACUACGUAGGUAGUUUACGUUAAAAUACAUAUUUACGUAGGUAGUUUACAUGACAAAAUGAGUCCCGAAUCAUAUUUU